rnacentral:rRNA from 1 species
UACGUAGGGGGCAAGCGUUGUCCGGAUUUACUGGGCGUAAAGGGCGUGCAGGCGGUUUGUUAAGUGCAGAGUGAAAGCUCCCGGCUCAACUGGGAGAGGUCUUUGCAUACUGGCAAACUCGAGGGAGGCAGAGGAAAGUGGAAUUCCCGGUGUAGUGGUGAUAUGCGUAGAUAUCGGGAGGAACACCUGUGGCGAAGGCGGCUUUCUGGGCCUUACCUGACGCUGAGACGCGAAAGCGUGGGGAGCAAACAGG